AAAUGAGAUUGUGGACUCUGAAGGGACAAGAGGCUCCAAGUAUUGGAAGCAAAAUGCAAAAAAGUUUCUUGCUGUCCCAGAGAACAUCUUCCAUGAGUUCCAGCAAGGAACAAAGGGAAAGAAACUGAGUCAUUAAGAUAUGGACUCCACAAGUCUUCAGGAGGUCCAUGACAAAAUAGAAGAAGUGAUCUUGGCUGCUCAAGGACUGAGUGAAGUCACCACAGUCAUCAAGGACCUGUCAACACAUGCCAGCA